rnacentral:rRNA from 1 species
CACGUAGGGCGCAAGCGUUGUCCGGAAUUAUUGGGCGUAAAGAGCUCGUAGGCGGUCUGUUGCGUCCGCUGUGAAAACUCGGGGCUUAACCCCGAGCCUGCAGUGGAUACGGGCAGACUAGAGGUAGGUAGGGGAGAAUGGAAUUCCUGGUGUAGCGGUGGAAUGCGCAGAUAUCAGGAGGAACACCAAUAGCGAAGGCAGCUCGCUGGGACGUUACUGACACUAAGGCGCGAAAGCGUGGGGAGCGAACAGG